rnacentral:rRNA from 1 species
GACGAACGCUGGCGGCGUGCCUAACACAUGCAAGUCGAGCGAAUGAAGUUCCUUCGGGAAUGGAUAUAGCGGCGGACGGGUGAGUAACACGUGGGCAACCUGCCUCAUAGAGGGGAAUAGCCUUCCGAAAGGGAGAUUAAUACCGCAUAAGAUUGUAGUACCGCAUGAUACAGCAAUUAAAGGAGUAAUCCGCUAUGAGAUGGGCCCGCGGCGCAUUAGCUAGUUGGUGAGGUAACGGCUCACCAAGGCGACGAUGCGUAGCCGACCUGAGAGGGUGAUCGGCCAAAUUGGGACUGAGACACGGCCCAGACUCCUACGGGAGGCAGCAGUGGGGAAUAUUGCACAAUGGGGGAAACCCUGAUGCAGCAACGCCGCGUGAGUGAUGACGGCCUUCGGGUUGUAAAGCUCUGUCUUCAGGGACGAUAAUGACGGUACCUGAGGAGGAAGCCACGGCUAACUACGUGCCAGCAGCCGCGGUAA